AGGGUUCGAUCAUGGCUCAGGAUGAACGCCAGCUACAGGCUUAACACAUGCAAGUCGAGGGGAAACGAUAUUGGAAGCUUGCUUCCGAUAGGCGUCGACCGGCGCACGGGUGAGUAACGCGUAUCCAACCUGCCCACCACUUGGGGAUAACCUUGCGAAAGUAAGACUAAUACCCAAUGAUAUCUCUAGAAGACAUCUGAAAGAGAUUAAAGAUUUAUCGGUGAUGGAUGGGGAUGCGUCUGAUUAGCUUGUUGGCGGGGUAACGGCCCACCAAGGCAACGAUCAGUAGGGGUUCUGAGAGGAAGGUCCCCCACAUUGGAACUGAGACACGGUCCAA
rnacentral:rRNA from 1 species